ensembl:lncRNA
GAACUACUUUCAGAAGUGCUUUUUAGAAACCUAAUCAACAAAAAUGUUUUAAAGCUGCAUGCUGAAAUAAACUGAAAUAGAAUUAAACUGAAAGCCUGACUAUUCUUUUCUUCGUGGUUGAUGGUAUUUGGAUGGGGCUUGCUACCUUCCUACCUGCAAUGCUACAGCUGUGAGAGUGGCUCAGCACAUAAACCUGUGAUUUCAGCCCUUGUGUAUCCUUUACCCACAGCAGAUUGGUGACUUCUAUUUUUCAUGGCUGAUUCAUGGCAGAUGUUCAAGGGAGAAAAUGAUGGACCACACACACAGAAUAACCGCAUGUGCUACAGUUGGGCUUUAGUGUGCACUUUAUGUAACAGGACAGCUUAAGCAUGUGUUUCAUGUAGCACAGAUUCUUGUGGGAAUGUGAUUCUUUCACAUGCUACGUCUAUGAAAGAGGGUGGUAUGAGUGUACUUUUUGCAUUGGUGACAAUAUUGUUGUUACCAAUGGAAUAUAUUAAAACUUUACUUUUGAAAGUUCUUGGAACAGUACACGUAGUCUAAAAGCAGUUUUACAGAGAUCAGUGCCUUAACCUAUGGUUAAUCCUGGGGAAACUGGGAUGGUUCUAUAGUAUGGACAUUGGAGAAGGUCAAUCAAGGAGGGAGCACGGUGGUCUAAACAUUGUUUAGAGUGAACAGAUAACAAAUAUGAAACCCACUCCACCCCACUCCACCCCCAGUGUUUCCAGGGGAAAAGUGGUAGGGUAGGGCAGUGGUAGAGGAAAGAAAGAAUCAAUGAAAUGCAUUCCAGUUUAGACCACACCCAUGAGAUUAAAUUCAAAUAUAAAGAGACAGACAUUUGAAGCAGGCAGAUAUAGGUACAGAUACAGAUACAGAUUCAUACUUAGGUACAGAUACAGGUACACAUAAGAUGGAGGUACAGAUGCAGGUACAGAUACAUAUCCAGAUACAAAUAAAGGUACAGAUACAUAUACAGAUAAAUACAGGUACAGAUACAGAUGCAAAUACAGGUACAGAUUCAUAUAUAAAUACAAUACAGAUAC